AAGCAUUUGUCUGUUCUGAGUGUGGUCAAAGAUUUGGACAAAAGAGCACUCUGAACACACACAUGAUAAUUCAUACAGGGCAAAAAACAUUUGUCUGUUCUGAGUGUGGUAAAACAAUUGGACAAAAGAGCACCCUGAACACACACUGAUAAUUCAUACGGGCAAAAAGGCAUUUGUCUGUUCUGAGUGUGGUAAAAGAUUUAGACUAAAGGGCACCCUGAACACACACAUGAUAAUCAUACAGGGCAUAAAGCUUUGUCUGUUCUGAGUGUGG